AACGAACGCUGGCGGCAUGCCUAACACAUGCAAGUCGAACGAUACCUUCGGGUCUAGUGGCGCACGGGUGCGUAACGCGUGGGAACCUGCCCUUAGGUUCGGAAUAACUCCCCGAAAGGGGUGCUAAUACCGGAUAAUGUCUUCGGACCAAAGAUUUAUCGCCUUUGGAUGGGCCCGCGUUGGAUUAGCUAGUUGGUAGGGUAAAAGCCUACCAAGGCGACGAUCCAUAGCUGGUCUGAGAGGAUGAUCAGCCACACUGGGACUGAGACACGGCCCAGACUCCUACGCGAGGCAGCAGUGGGGAAUAUUGGACAAUGGGCGAAAGCCUGAUCCAGCAAUGCCGCGUGAGUGAUGAAGGCAUUAGGGUUGUAAAGCUCUUUUACCCGGGAUGAUAAUGACAGUACCGGGAGAAUAAGCACCGGCUAACUCCGUG
rnacentral:rRNA from 1 species